GGUUAAGCGACUAAGCGUACACGGUGGAUGCCCUGGCAGUCAGAGGCGAUGAAGGACGUGCUAAUCUGCGAAAAGCGUCGGUAAGGUGAUAUGAACCGUUAUAACCGGCGAUGUCCGAAUGGGGAAACCCAGUGCAAUUCGUUGCACUAUCGUUAACUGAAUACAUAGGUUAACGAGGCGAACCGGGGGAACUGAAACAUCUAAGUACCCCGAGGAAAAGAAAUCAACCGAGAUUCCCCCAGUAGCGGCGAGCGAACGGGGAGCAGCCCAGAGUCUGAAUCAGCUUGUGUGUUAGUGGAACGGUCUGGAAAGUCCGACGGUACAGGGUGAUAGUCCCGUACACCAAAAUGCACAGGCUGUGAACUCGAAGAGUAGGGCGGGACACGUGGUAUCCUGUCUGAAUAUGGGGGGACCAUCCUCCAAGGCUAAAUACUCCUGACUGACCGAUAGUGAACCAGUACCGUGAGGGAAAGGCGAAAAGAACCCCGGCGAGGGGAGUGAAAAAGAACCUGAAACCGUGUACGUACAAGCAGUGGGAGCACCUUCGGGUGUGACUGCGUACCUUUUGUAUAAUGGGUCAGCGACUUAUAUUCUGUAGCAAGGUUAACCGUAUAGGGGAGCCGCAGGGAAACCGAGUCUUAACUGGGCGUUAAGUUGCAGGGUAUAGACCCGAAACCCGGUGAUCUAGCCAUGGGCAGGUUGAAGGUUGGGUAACACUAACUGGAGGACCGAACCGACUAAUGUUGAAAAAUUAGCGGAUGACUUGUGGCUGGGGGUGAAAGGCCAAUCAAACCGGGAGAUAGCUGGUUCUCCCCGAAAGCUAUUUAGGUAGCGCCUCGUGAACUCAUCUUCGGGGGUAGAGCACUGUUUCGGCUAGGGGGUCAUCCCGACUUACCAACCCGAUGCAAACUACGAAUACCGAAGAAUGUUAUCACGGGAGACACACGGCGGGUGCUAACGUCCGUCGUGAAGAGGGAAACAACCCAGACCGCCAGCUAAGGUCCCAAAGUCAUGGUUAAGUGGGAAACGAUGUGGGAAGGCACAGACAGCCAGGAUGUUGGCUUAGAAGCAGCCAUCAUUUAAAGAAAGCGUAAUAGCUCACUGGUCGAGUCGGCCUGCGCGGAAGAUGUAACGGGGCUAAACCAUGCACCGAAGCUGCGGCAGCGACACUAUGUGUUGUUGGGUAGGGGAGCGUUCUGUAAGCCUGCGAAGGUGACCUGUGAGGGUUGCUGGAGGUAUCAGAAGUGCGAAUGCUGACAUAAGUAACGAUAAAGCGGGUGAAAAGCCCGCUCGCCGGAAGACCAAGGGUUCCUGUCCAACGUUAAUCGGGGCAGGGUGAGUCGACCCCUAAGGCGAGGCCGAAAGGCGUAGUCGAUGGGAAACAGGUUAAUAUUCCUGUACUUGGUGUUACUGCGAAGGGGGACGGAGAAGGCUAUGUUAGCCGGGCGACGGUUGUCCCGGUUUAAGCAUGUAGGCUGAUUAUCCAGGCAAAUCCGGAUAAUCAAGGCUGAGGUGUGAUGACGAGGCACUACGGUGCUGAAGUAACAAAUGCCCUGCUUCCAGGAAAAGCCUCUAAGCAUCAGGUAACAUCAAAUCGUACCCCAAACCGACACAGGUGGUCAGGUAGAGAAUACCAAGGCGCUUGAGAGAACUCGGGUGAAGGAACUAGGCAAAAUGGUGCCGUAACUUCGGGAGAAGGCACGCUGGUGUGUAGGUGAAGCCCCUGCGGGUGGAGCUGAGACCAGUCGAAGAUACCAGCUGGCUGCAACUGUUUAUUAAAAACACAGCACUGUGCAAACACGAAAGUGGACGUAUACGGUGUGACGCCUGCCCGGUGCCGGAAGGUUAAUUGAUGGGGUUAUCCGUAAGGAGAAGCUCUUGAUCGAAGCCCCGGUAAACGGCGGCCGUAACUAUAACGGUCCUAAGGUAGCGAAAUUCCUUGUCGGGUAAGUUCCGACCUGCACGAAUGGCGUAAUGAUGGCCAGGCUGUCUCCACCCGAGACUCAGUGAAAUUGAACUCGCUGUGAAGAUGCAGUGUACCCGCGGCAAGACGGAAAGACCCCGUGAACCUUUACUAUAGCUUGACACUGAACAUUGAGCCUUGAUGUGUAGGAUAGGUGGGAGGCUUUGAAGCGUGGACGCCAGUCUGCGUGGAGCCAACCUUGAAAUACCACCCUUUAAUGUUUGAUGUUCUAACGUUGGCCCCUUACCGGGGUUGCGGACAGUGUCUGGUGGGUAGUUUGACUGGGGCGGUCUCCUCCCAAAGCGUAACGGAGGAGCACGAAGGUUAGCUAAUCCUGGUCGGACAUCAGGAGGUUAGUGCAAUGGCAUAAGCUAGCUUGACUGCGAGCGUGACGGCGCGAGCAGGUGCGAAAGCAGGUCAUAGUGAUCCGGUGGUUCUGAAUGGAAGGGCCAUCGCUCAACGGAUAAAAGGUACUCCGGGGAUAACAGGCUGAUACCGCCCAAGAGUUCAUAUCGACGGCGGUGUUUGGCACCUCGAUGUCGGCUCAUCACAUCCUGGGGCUGAAGUAGGUCCCAAGGGUAUGGCUGUUCGCCAUUUAAAGUGGUACGCGAGCUGGGUUUAGAACGUCGUGAGACAGUUCGGUCCCUAUCUGCCGUGGGCGCUGGAGAAUUGAGGGGGGCUGCUCCUAGUACGAGAGGACCGGAGUGGACGCAUCACUGGUGUUCGGGUUGUCAUGCCAAUGGCACUGCCCGGUAGCUAAAUGCGGAAGAGAUAAGUGCUGAAAGCAUCUAAGCACGAAACUUGCCCCGAGAUGAGUUCUCCCUGAGACUUUAAGUCUCCUGAAGGAACGUUGAAGACGACGACGUUGAUAGGCCGGGUGUGUAAGCGCAGCGAUGCGUUGAGCUAACCGGUACUAAUGAACCGUGAGGCUUAACCUU
rnacentral:rRNA from 1 species